rnacentral:rRNA from 1 species
GUGCCAGCCGCCGCGGUAAUACCAGCUCCGCGAGUGGUCGGGGUGCUUACUGGGCCUAAAGCGCCCGUAGCCGGCCCGGUAAGUCGUCCCUGAAAUCCACGGGCUCAACCCGUGGGCUGGGGACGAUACUGCCGGGCUUGGGGGCGGGAGAGGCCGAGGGUACUCCCGGGGUAGGGGCGAAAUCCGAUAAUCCUAGGAGGACCACCAGUGGCGAAGGCGCCCGGCUGGAACGCGCCCGACGGUGAGGGGCGAAAGCUGGGGGAGCGAACCGGAUUAGAUACCCGGGUAGUCCCAGCUGUAAACGAUGCAGGCUAGGUGUUAGAUGGGCGUUAGUGCCCAUCUAGUGCCGCAGGGAAGCCGUUAAGCCUGCCGCCUGGGGAGUACGGCCACAAGGCUGAAACUUAAAGGAAUUGGCGGGGGGGCACACAAGGGGUGGAGCCUGCGGCUCAAUUGGAGUCAACGCCGGGAACCUCCACCGGGAGCSACASAGGAUGACGGCCAGGCUAACGACCUUGCCUGACACGCUGAGGGGAGGUGCACGGCC